AACAUCUUUGGGCAUAUAUUUUUAAAUAUUUAAUGGCAUCCUUCGCUAUGCAGAGGUUUUAAAGUUUAAUGUAGUAAAUUGCAAGAGACACUCAAUUUGAACUGAUUUGAGCAAGAGUAAAAUGUAUUGACUCAUAUAACUGAAAACCUCAGAGGUCAGUCUCCAGGUACCGAUGGAGUCAGGGGCUCCAACAGUGUCAUCAGGACCCUGUUAACUUGAGCUCUGUUCAUGAUGGUGUCAUUCCGGGGAUCUCUGGGAUGGUAAGAGCCCGGUAGCUCCCAAACCAUCCAUAUUUCUGGUCCACUUAAAAAAAAAAAAAAAGAAUUGACUAGAAUAAUGAUACCUCAGUCUAGAGAGUAGUUUAAAUACUAACCCCCCCUCCCCAGCCCACCUCUCCACACAUAACAAAACCAAAGGUAGUUAGUUCUGGGAGUGAUUCAGUAACACUAACUGACCCCCUCUAGAGACUGGGGGGCUGUGCUGUGCUGGCGGGAAUAAGGGCUGUGGGAGCCGCGGGGUUGACCUCCAGCAGCACCUGCCCCCGGGAGCAUCUCUCCCAAUCGCUCCUGCCCCAGAAACGGGAUCGCGUCACGUGCUCAUCCUGGACUGCUUCCGGGUCUGGGGGCUUUGCCAGCUGAUUGGCUGGGCUGGGUCACAUGCUCCACCCGUACACUCGCCGCAGAGCUGAUCCUGAACGCCGUGAAUGGACAACGGGAGAGUGUCUGUUUAUUGGGGUGUGGAACCAGAAGGUGGGGUGGGGGGACGCGUGCUGAAAACUCAGCACAGGAAGUUCAUACCAGGGAAGCCGCAUGAACGUGUCCUCAUCCUGUUCGGAAUAUACUGUCAGUUUCUGAGAGUGAGUUUCCGAUAAAAAUAAACUCAGCCAAGUGUUAAAAGUUAAACAAAGAAGAGGCUGAUUUAGAAACGCGGAAAGAUUCACACUCUUGAUACUUAAGCUCUGGGAUUCUUUGAAGAAAAGCUUACCGCUAUUGGUUUCCGAAGAAAAUUGUAACACGAGCCAAUCGGUGAUGAUAAUUUGUGGAAGAGGUACCGAUAGGCCAGGAAUUGGCUCGCGUCACCGGUUUUAACUUGAAUCGUAUGGAAGAUGGAUGAUCCGAGUCAGGCCUGUCGUGCAGCAGAAAAUACUGCAAUGUCACACGGAACAAUAAAGGUGCGGAAGCUGAGCAGAAACAGAUGUUCUUCCAGAAAUUAGCUGUUCGCUACGUGCCUUUCUCUUGUUGAUGUUGUCACUACGAGAUCCAGAAUCAUCCCACGGCAAGGAAACACGGCCGCUAGCUGUGGAGCUGUCUGCCGCUUCAUCAGAUCCACUCAUGAACUUGACACAUGGCUUGUGCUGCUCAGCAAGACAAGGGGAAUCAUAUCUCUGCUGUUGCUCGCAGCGUGUUAGGACGAGAGGCCAGCUUGGGGUGCUGACCACGGGUGUGCGGCCACCCAAUACGGCCAGGACCUUCGGCACCGUGUUCUCUGUUUUCCCAAACCCAAAAGACAGUCUACUAAGCCCAACACCACCCCUCUGGACUCUGGCGCCCAGGGCUUCCACCCAGGACCACGAGACGUUUCCUGGCAGAGGAAAGGGUGCCUUUGCUACCUGAUGUCGUUCUUCUCUUUGCAAAAGGCUGCUGCUGUGUUAAUUUCAGAUACAAGUUGGUAAGGAAGCGCCCUGGUGAUCCACUCCACAUCAUGAACAUGUCCUAUCAAGAGUGACCACUGCCGGGGCGCCUGGGUGGCUCAGUCGCUUAAAGCGUCCGACUUCGGCCCAGGUCUUGAUCACAUGGCUCAUGAGUUCAAGCCUCAUGUCAGGCUCUGGGCUGACAGCUCGGAGCCCGGAGCCUGCUUCAGAUUCUGUGUCUCCCUCUCUCUCUGCCCUUCCCCUGCUCGCACUCUGUCUCUCAAAAAUAAAUAAACAUUACAAAAAAUAAAAAAAAAAAAAAAGAGUGAGCACUGCCAGCGUCCUCCCCUCCCUCAGAGAAGGCUGCAGGGGGCAGGGGGAGCGGGAGGCUGAAGUUCUCUCUGUUCAGUCCCCAUUAUCUUCUUGCCCCGAAGAUGAGGGGUUUCCAUCUCUAGGGCUCUGGGGCUGAAACUCUAACAGACAGGAAGUAGCUCAAAUAUGAAGCCACAGAUGGCCUGCCAUUUUUACCUGAAGUGCUGGAAUUUUCCGGAAAAUGCCGGAGGAAAGGAAGAGGUCAAGUCGGCUGGCUCAGCCAUUCAUCA